CAGAAACCUCUGAAGAAGACACUGAGCACAACUUCCUUCUUCAGGAAAGAGAAGGUGGGAGGAAAUAAAGACGGCACGGGUGAGAGAGGAGGGGAGAAGAUUGACAGGAUAGAGAGGUGAUGCCACCUGUACAGGGCAGGAAGAGAACGGAAAAAACUCAUUAGUCUGCCUCCAUCCCAAUUCGCUGCUCUGACCUUGAGACAUCCACGCCUCCCUCCAGGCUCAGCCCAGUCAGGACUCCUCGGAUCAACCCCCACCUUCAUCGCCAGCAUCUCCUAAUUCAGCUGCAGCCAUUUAAUGAAGACUGAGUUCACCCCCCACUCUGCGGGAAGAGCAAAGAGCUGUCCGCAGCGUUUUGUGUCAAGGCCUGGAGCGCGGUCCUCGAUGCGAAGAGGAGAGAACGGGAGAGGAAGAGAAACUCUGUGUGACACUGAGGCAUGGAGGAGGAGGAAGAGGAAGGCGAGGCCGCAUCAGGAGGUUGUCGAGCCACAUCCAAGUGUCAGGGUCCCGAAAUAGUGGCGAGCGACAAGCAGACUGAAGACACCAAACAAACAACAGCUCUCAGAUCGAGUAAACAUCGGCUAACACUCGGGACGCGACAAACUGUGAAGCCUCCCUCUGUCUUCCGGUCCUGCUAAUCAGAUCCGCGGAGAAAGCAACCGGAGAGGACACUGGUCCUGCUAGAGGAGGCCUCUGCUGCCUCUCUUCUGUUCUGGCCGGGGUCCUCGAAGGGAAAAAAAACAAAAAAACACUGACAAGCUCAGUGUGGACACAGAGGACAGAGUCUCGUCUCCAGCAGAUGUCUCGUGGCGCAGACUAUAAAUAAAGCCAAUGAGAGCAGCCGGCUGCUGACGCGCGCCUGAGCGACGCUGCAUUCACUUUGCAAACGGCUCAACUAGAGAACACAGCUUUUUAACUAAAGUAUCGAUCUUUAGUUUCUCAAGCCGAUACUUAACCUCUAUAUUCAGGCUGGAUCUGCUGGAGGUUUCUUCCUCUAACAAAAAAAGAGUCAUUCCUUUCUACUGUCGCCAUCUGCUUGCUCAGGGUUGCAGCUAACAAUUAUUUUAGUAAUCAGUUAAUCAACUUAAAAAUUGGCACAUAGAUUUUGCAUUUAACCACUUAAGCCUGUCUUAUACUAUUUAAACUGACCUGGACAUGUAACAGAUCAACACUGAAUCGUUUUUGUUCCAAAUGAGAAAAUGAAAAAACAAACUUGCAGCUGGAAAGCUUUGAAAAUAGUAUGCAGUGCUACUUCUGUCAUGUUUAAUGUCUGCUGUUUGCUGUAAUGUGCAGCCAACUCAAAGUGACUCCAACAUCUGUGAGAAGAUGCGCGACAUCCAGUGCGUUUAAUAUCGCAGCGUGGGCCUUUAACUGUGGAAGAGGAGCGCACCACUGUGGCGUUGUGUUCAGCUGAUGACCCUGACAGUCCCAAAGGACGUUGGUAGCCUGGAGGCUUGUCUGCCUCCAUUUAAACCCGUCUGACGGCGCCUUAUUUGGAUUGGACAGACAUCCAGCUGCAAUUAAAACACAUUUGUUUUUAGUGUUGGGGAUGAAAACGUUCAGGAAGUGAGCAGUUUGCAAAGCAAUAAUUGAGUUCACAACGACUAUGUCUGCUUGUAAGGAGCAGCAAUCAGAUUGUUACUGGAGUAGAGAUCAGACAAGAAGACAGGAUAAAUACUGAGAAAUACGGAUCAGAACGACUUCCCAGAUGUCAAACAAUUUUCUUAAACUCAGAGGACUAAGAGCUUAAAUAUGACGCAGUUUUAGGGUCAAUAUGGUUUAGUUGUAUUUCAUUGUGACUUUUUGUACAAUUCUGUUUUAAUCUGCCUUUGGGGUGUGU